AGCUUUGCGCUGUGGCCGUAUUAUAGCCAAUGAGGCAUAUUGAGGCGUGAUUAUUGCUAAUAGAAAACUUUUGCAGAGUCAC
rnacentral:snRNA from 1 species